UACAGAGGGGGCGAGCGUUGUUCGGAAUUACUGGGCGUAAAGGGCGCGUAGGCGGCCUGCUAAGUCGAACGUGAAAUCCCCGGGCUCAACCCGGGAACUGCGUCCGAUACUGGUGGGCUUGAAUCCGGGAGAGGGAUGUGGAAUUCCAGGUGUAGCGGUGAAAUGCGUAGAUAUCUGGAGGAACACCGGUGGCGAAGGCGGCAUCCUGGACCGGAAUUGACGCUGAGGCGCGAAAGCUAGGGGAGCAAACGGG
rnacentral:rRNA from 1 species